CCUACGGGAGGCUGCAGUGGGGAAUAUUGGACAAUGGGGGGAACCCUGAUCCAGCCAUGCCGCGUGUGUGAAGAAGGCCCUCGGGUUGUAAAGCACUUUCAGUGAGGAAGAACGCCUGGUGGUUAAUACCCAUCAGGAAAGACAUCACUCACAGAAGAAGCACCGGCUAACUCCGUGCCAGCAGCCGCGGUAAUACGGAGGGUGCGAGCGUUAAUCGGAAUUACUGGGCGUAAAGCGCGCGUAGGUGGCUUGAUAAGCCGGUUGUGAAAGCCCCGGGCUCAACCUGGGAACGGCAUCCGGAACUGUCAAGCUAGAGUGCAGGAGAGGAAGGUAGAAUUCCCGGUGUAGCGGUGAAAUGCGUAGAGAUCGGGAGGAAUACCAGUGGCGAAGGCGGUCUUCUGGACUGACACUGACACUGAGGUGCGAAAGCGUGGGUAGCAAACAGGAUUAGAUACCCGUGUAGUC
rnacentral:rRNA from 1 species